GGAUGGAUCAUACAACUCAUACAUAGUGUUAAAAUCAGGUACCACUGUAAUGUCCACUAGAUAAAUGACAGCAAAGUUCUUUAUCCGCUCAGCAACUGAUGCUAGGACUUCAUCCAUCUGAAGUAAGAAUUGAAACAAUUAGCGAGUAAAACUUCAUAAAUUCAAUUUGCAAAAUUUCUAAUCAAGAAGACAACUUAACAGAAUUGUAGUUAAUCAAAUGACAAGAAGCAUAGACAAGAAUACUACAGUAUCAUAUCUAGAAAAAAGGAGGCAUAAUCUUUAAAAAUCAAGUCUCUUAACUUCACUUCCAGUACCACCAAAACUCUUGAGCUUCUCAAGAGAUAAUUCAGAACCUGUACGCCACCCUUAAAGUUUUUUUACACUGCACUCAAAAACACCUGAAACCAUUCUGAAAAUUGAAAGGGUAAUUAAAUCUCACAAAUACCAGAAAGAGGAAAUUACUACAAAAGCAUUAGCAAAGCUCAAAACCUGAGAAAUCAACAAGCUAAUUUGCUUAAGAGAACUUCUGUAGGAAUCUUGUUUAAAGGGUUAUUUAAAUGUAGACAUGGACUUCAGUGUAUUCUCCGCUUUAGCCUCAUGUAUAGUAUGAUAAGAGUGAGAGAAAUUAAAUUGCAUGAAAAGGUAGAGAAUGGCAGCUAUUGUUCAAGAAAAACAAACAAUAAUUAUUUGAAGAAAAUGAAGGCAAGAGUUUUUAGGAAAUCAGAUUUUCACCACAUCCAAAACAAUCCCAAAUUAUAUGCAUAAGAGCUAACAAUUAAGAAAAAUAAAUAACUAAACAAAAGAACUAGAAUCCAACGAGGGAAAGAAAACAAAAUUCCAAUAGAAUAAAUUUCAAGCCUCACUUUCCUUCAAAUACGCCUAAAGCGCCUAAAUUUAAGAGUAAGCACGCAAUUAUGAUAAUGAUCAGGCAUUUGCUAAACUAUGAAUGUUCAAAUAUGAAAUUAUAUUGAUUUCCAAACGUCAUUUAGAUUUUGAGUUCAAACCCCAUUAUGAGCCUAAAUUGGCUCUAAAGAUGGAAAUAAUUAUUAUAAGCUCAGCCUGGCACUGAUUCAAUCCUAUGAAACUGCAUAUGAUGCAAAAGUCGUCCUAACACUAGAUAAACUCUCCAUUAAGCAAUUCAAAAAGAAAGUAAAGACAAGCUGACAUUUUGGCCUUUGUAGUGUCUGUAACGGAACUUACAAAUAAUUGUUCUCAAGAUGCAGAAUGAAAACACACCCAAAACCAUUAGUUUACCAAGCAAUAUCAGAGGAUAUAUUACAGGCAAUUUUUACAAUAGUUCAGUUAAUUUUUCCAAGAUAUAAUCUUGGCUCAACAUCUAAUUUUCUGGUUUGAACUUUGAACUCGAUUCAACCCAAUUUACCUCGAAGCUAAUUUCGAUUUAAAGGCCACUAGUAGAUAUUUUCCAAUUAUUGGGUACGCUUUAUGGAUUAUAACACACAUAUACCUUUCUGUUUCCCCAAUAUUGGCAUGCUUUGACGUUUCUGCAAACCCGAUAAAGAUAAAAAGAUGCGAAAUUCAUUUAAAAUAUAACAAAUCAAAAGCAUAGAGGUCCUAAAAAUCGUUUCCUCAUCCAUAAAUACCUUCAGAAACGGGCGCAGCACUACAGCCCUACGAGUUUGAUUCCUAAUAAAAACCAUGCCAUAGAGCCAACGGAAAGAGAUUAGAAACCAAAAUGCCACACUCAACAAUUACGUACAUAAAUUCUUUCAAUUCGCAGAUUGAAGCUAAAACCCAUUCAAGAAAUGAAGGGGAAAAAAAAGCAUACCAGCAUGCAUGUAUCGUCCCAGUCAUGGCCGAAUCGGAUGAUCACAACCCGCUCUUCUUCGGCAAGAAUAGCCUGAUCAACGGCCCACCCUGAGUGCAAGUGCGGCAACAGGUACGACAUCGUGAUCCCUUCUCGUCUCCUCCGCGUUCCCUAGCGUUUCUCAGCGGUAUUAUAGAUUGGAAUUUAGAAGAAGACGCGGCGAAGGCUCCAGAAGAAGCCUGUCCCUCCGGC
rnacentral:misc_RNA from 1 species